rnacentral:lncRNA from 1 species
AGAAUUCAUUCUUAUCUCUCUAUAUAUUCUUAACUAGGAAUUAUACUGCGAUCUCUAUAAGACCUCAAAAAUGUGUUGAAUUUGUAAAACACAUAUUUUAAUUUGCAAGGCAAGCUUUUUAUAUGUACCCCACAUACUUACUUUAUUGGUAGCUUGCUUCUCUAGAAGAUAUUAUAAAAUUAAUUUAUUUUUAUCUACUUUUAUCUACUUCUACUUAAUCAUAUAAAUAUCUAUUAGAGUACAUGUAUAUAUCUAUUAUAUUAU